rnacentral:rRNA from 1 species
GACGAACGCUGGCGGCGUGCCUAAUACAUGCAAGUUGAGCGAUGAAGCUUGGUGCUUGCACCAAUUUGAAGAGCAGCGAACGGGUGAGUAACGCGUGGGGAAUCUGCCUUUGAGCGGGGGACAACAUUUGGAAACGAAUGCUAAUACCGCAUAACAACUUUAAACAUAAGUUUUAAGUUUGAAAGAUGCAAUUGCAUCACUCAAAGAUGAUCCCGCGUUGUAUUAGCUAGUUGGUGAGGUAAAGGCUCACCAAGGCGAUGAUACAUAGCCGACCUGAGAGGGUGAUCGGCCACAUUGGGACUGAGACCCGGCCCCAACUCCUUCGGGAGGCAGCAGUAGGGAAUCUUCGGCAAUGGACGAAAGUCUGACCGAGCAACGCCGCGUGAGUGAAGAAGGUUUUCGGGUCGUAAAACUCUGUUGGUAGAGAAGAACGUUGGUGAGAGUGGAAAGCUCAUCAAGUGACGGUAACUACCCAGAAAGGGACGGCUAACUACGUG